rnacentral:rRNA from 1 species
GACGGAGGAUGCAAGUGUUAUCCGGAAUCACUGGGCGUAAAGCGUCUGUAGGCGGUUUAAUAAGUCAACUGUUAAAUCUUGAGGCUCAACCUCAAAAUCGCAGUCGAAACUAUUAGGCUAGAGUAUAGUAGGGGUAAAGGGAAUUUCCAGUGGAGCGGUGAAAUGCGUAGAGAUUGGAAAGAACACCGAUGGCGAAGGCGCUUUACUGGGCUAUUACUAACACUCAGAGACGAAAGCGAGGGUAGCAAAUGGG